CUGGGCAGGGUUUCAAAGGAGCUGUCCGCCACGGGAACUGAGACAAGUGUUGCAGGAAGUGCGGCUACUCCAACGAGACCUUGCCCCACGUCCUGUGCAGCUGAAAGCCCCACUCCAGAGCCUGGCAGCUGCGCCACAAUGCCAUCCAGAACCGCCUAGCGAAAGCCAUCG